AUGACCAAUUUGAUCUGAGAAUACAUAUCUUGUUUCAACCUUAUGCUUUAUAUUAUUCCAAAGAUCUCAACUCGUUCGGAACAAGAAAAUUGAAACUCUUGAAAUGAGAAUAUAUCGCUUUCCAGUCGAGAAAAAUUUAUGUUUGUUCUGAAUCAACUACAAUCUCUCUAAAUGGACAUUCAUUUUGUUGCUUUAAAACAGCAAGUCUCUUCUCAAAUAUAACGUGAGUUUUUUGGAAGAUCUCGAUUUCUUGAAAUGGUGAAAUCGAACACUGACAGACUGAAGAAUUCUAACUGAGUGGAAUUCAUUUUUCAUUCAACUUGAAUAAUUAUUUGUACAGUUUUCUGAGCGUGUCCUUUGAUAUGUAUAGGUACUUGGAUCUGCCUGACCAGGUUAAAUAGAAUGGCUUCAUCCAAAAUUUACGACUUUCAAGAGUAAUCUGCACUUUUUCAAUAAUUUAUUAAGACGUUCAUUAUUAUUAUUAUAUCUUUCCACAACAUAUGGAUCUAUUAUCAAGAAUGCCUACCUAAUAAUUUGUAUUGUGUUAUUGGUGUUGUGUUAAAUAUCCAUUAUUUGAGUCCACCAACUCAAGAAGAAGAAGAAUCAAACUGACAACAUUGUCAGCGUUCAUUAGAAUCUGCCGCGUGAAUCCCCGACUGGCUCCAUUUGCAAGAGUGGAAAUUAGGGACGCUUCCGUUUCGGUAUUAUACCGUUAUAUUUAUUUCUUUUCUAGUGCUCAAACACCUUACACGGUAGGAAGUUAACAAUUUUAGGUAUUAGUGCAUUGCAUUCAAUAGUGUUUUGAGAAUUAACCAGCAAUUAAUUCCCUAAUACGAUAGUUUAAGUGUUUGGUGUAAAAGGUGGACAUUGAGAAUAUUCUGAUUUCUCCAAAUUUCGAACCCAAUAAAAACAUGGAAGAGCUUCUUCGAGAGUGGAAACUUGCCCAACUGAUUCCUAUCUUUCAAGACGUUCCAUUGUUGCGAGGGGCAAAUUGGUGGACAAGGCCAGGAAUCUCAUUCAUAAAAGUGGACUUAGUACUCGGAAAAGGAAGUUAGAGUCUAGAAGUUAUAUUCCAGCAAAAGUAACGACAUUCACCGAAGAAGAAAUUGAAUCACAUAAAUUCCUCAGAACAAGGACCGAACCGUGGGAGGAAAUAGUCUACCACUGGAAUAGAACGUUCAAUUCAAGAAGGACUGAAAGUGACCGUAGUUUAGGUCUGUUUUUGGCAAAGUGGCCAAUUUCUUGAGGAUCUCUGUAUGUUCAGAUAUAAUUUUUUCGAGCUAGAUAUUUAGACAAGAUACUUUUUAGAAAGAACUUGAUAUAUUUCACUUUGUAUUUUCUUCAGAUAAUAAAUUAUUUACAAAU